UAAUACGUAGGGGGCGAGCGUUAUCCGGAUUUAUUGGGCGUAAAGCGUGUGUAGGCGGUUUAUUAAGUCUAAGAUGAAAGACCGAGGCUUAACUUCGGUUUGUUUUAGAAACUGGUAGACUCGAGUGUGGUAGAGGCAAGUGGAAUUUCUAGUGUAGCGGUUAAAUGCGUAGAUAUUAGAAAGAACACCAGUGGCGAAAGCGGCUUGCUGGGCCAUUACUGACGCUGAGACACGAAAGCGUGGGGAGCAAAUAGGAUUAGAUACCCUAGUAGUCCACGCCGUAAACGAUGAGUACUAAGUGUUGGGAAACCGGUGCUGAAGCUAACGUAUUAAGUACUCCGCCUGAGUAGUACGGUCGCAAGGCUGAAACUUAAAGGAAUUGACGG
rnacentral:rRNA from 1 species